rnacentral:rRNA from 1 species
AUUGAACGCUGGCGACAGGCUUAACACAUGCAAGUCGAGCGGGGAAAGGUAGCUUGCUACUUAACCUAGCGGCGGACGGGUGAGUAAUGCUUAGGAAUCUGCCUAUUAGUGGGGGACAACAUCUCGAAAGGGAUGCUAAUACCGCAUACGUCCUACGGGAGAAAGCAGGGGACCUUCGGGCCUUGCGCUAAUAGAUGAGCCUAAGUCGGAUUAGCUAGUUGGUGGGGUAAAGGCCUACCAAGGCGACGAUCUGUAGCGGGUCUGAGAGGAUGAUACGCCACACUGGGACUGAGACACGGCCCAGACUCCUACGGGAGGCAGCAGUGGGGAAUAUUGGACAAUGGGGGGAACCCUGAUCCAGCCAUGCCGCGUGUGUGAAGAAGGCCUUUUGGUUGUAAAGCACUUUAAGCGAGGAGGAGGCUACCGAGAUUAAUACUCUUGGAUAGUGGACGUUACUCGCAGAAUAAGCACCGGCUAACUCUGUGCCAGCCGCCGCAGUAACAC